rnacentral:rRNA from 15 species
ACUUUCAGUCGUGAGGAAGGUGUCAGGAUUAACAGUCCUGGCAAUUGACGUUAGCGACAGAAGAAGCACCGGCUAACUCCGUGCCAGCAGCCGCGGUAAUACGGAGGGUGCGAGCGUUAAUCGGAAUUACUGGGCGUAAAGGGCACGCAGGCGGUUAAUUAAGUUGGAUGUGAAAUCCCCGGGCUUAACCUGGGAAUGGCAUUCAAGACUGGUUAGCUAGAGUCUUGUAGAGGGGGGUAGAAUUCCAUGUGUAGCGGUGAAAUGCGUAGAGAUGUGGAGGAAUACCGGUGGCGAAGGCGGCCCCCUGGACAGAGACUGACGCUCAUGUGCGAAAGCGUGGGGAGCAAACAGGAUUAGAUACCCUGGUAGUCCACGCUGUAAACGAUGUCGAUUUGGAGGUUGUGGUCAAGAACUGUGGCCUCCGGAGCUAACGCGUUAAAUCGACCGCCUGGGGAGUACGGCCGCAAGGUUAAAACUCAAAUGAAUUGACGGGGGCCCGCACAAGCGGUGGAGCAUGUGGUUUAAUUCGAUGCAACGCGAAGAACCUUACCUACUCUUGACAUCCAGCGAAUCCUUUA